UACCUGAUAACUGUUACUGAUAACUGAAAUAGGGUAAGGGUGCAAAGGUGCGGUAAGAGCGCACCAGCAACGUCGAGAGGCGUUGGCUCGGUAAACCCCGGUUGGAAGCAAGGUUGAACGGAGCAAUGGUUGGUCUUUAACCUGCUUCGGGUAAAAGUAGGGAAAUUUGCUUUUGCGCAAUCCGCUAGAGGUGUCUGGUAACAGGCAUCCCAGAUAGAUAACCGUCCUUCGACAGAACCCGGCUUAUGUCUGCCUCUCCCC
rnacentral:RNase_P_RNA from 1 species